CCCUCCUUGUCUGCUCCAUGGCCGAAGCCUCACCGCCGGCCGCCGCCUAAAUUGAUCCAGUGCCGUGCUCCCCUUGCCUCCCUUCCUCCACCAGUAGGAUCCCCGGAGUCCGGCGACCCAUUCCCCCUCGUUCCCUCGGCUACAAGUCACCGGAGCCCCGCGACCAUCUCUUCCCGAAGCCGACGUCCGCCCUGUCUCUACCCGUCGCCCCUCAGCCCUUCCUUGGUGUCCGCAACCGGUCCGGGCGGACACGGCGCUCCGCCCCGAGCGCGCAGGUGCCCCUGCCAUCGCCGGAGGUGGCCGGAGCCGCCGGGCCCGUCGCCGGUGUCGCGGCGCCUGGCCUCUGCCUCGCCCCUCUCUCUGCUUCUGUCGGGCGCGAGCGAGAAGAAGGAGCGGGAGGAGAGAGAAAGGACUAGGGCCCAACCCGUCAGUCGCACGAGGGGUUGACCCCGGGCUCUGACAUGGAUAAGUGGCCGCGUACUUCUGAAAAUAUGCUUUCCCUAAGCCGAAAGUGUAUUCUUUCUCUUCUUCAGGCCAGAAUGCGCUUUCCUCUCUGGAAAGCUUAUUUCUGAGAAAGGCACGUUCAGUUUUUCCUCCAGGGGCCUGUUUGCUGAAAAAAUUUCACCGAUAGGUCCCUGAGCUUCAACCCUUCGUAUCUCAACAACCGUAACUCCAAUUGAGGUGAAACCAACGCUUACGUCUUCGUCUCGUCGAACUCUUUCCGUUGGUAUCAUUUUCAUUAUGUUUUCACACCGUGGAAAUGACCACUUUGCCCUUGCACGUAAACAGCCCCCUCCGAGAGAGAACUGUUUCCGGCUACUCUUUCCGUGAUCGUUUCACACUUCUUCCCGAAGUAUUUGUCGACCCCUAGGCAAGCCAACCUCUUAUUAUGAGCCCCAAACUUGCAUGUUGACUUUGCUUGCACCUCGUGUGUGUUUAGUUGCAGUAGUUUCUUGUCUGUUCCGUCUGCUGAUAUUUUAGUCAUGCUAUAUGUUUUUGUUAUCUGUCUUGCAUGCUUAUGCUUUCAUGAAAUAACUUGACAUGCUAGUUUACUGUUGUUACUGAUAAUAUCAUGCCUCUACCUAGUUUAUUUUCAUUUUAGUAGUAUCGAUGUUAUGAUAAUUCUGGUGCACUAGUGAAAUUACUAGUACUUGUUAUUGCCAUGUUUCGCAUGCUAUCAUUGUUCUUUUGAAAUGCUUGAUGUUUUGUUACUGCAUCGGUAAGUUGCAUGUUAGUUGUUGCAUUUAUGUUAAUAAUGCUCGCAUCAUAAUUGAUGAUGGAGAAGUUAAUAAUAUGACUUAAUAACAAACCUCCUCCGUCAUCACUGGGAUAUCACAGCGCCACCCAACUCGCGCUUUCUCCAGUGCAACCACAUUUACCUUAUGGGGAGGUCCUAGCUGGGUCUAUUCUCAUGCCUCUCACCGGUGCCUCCUGCAAGGGAAGGUUAUGGGAACGCGCUACCCUGAUCAGGUAGGUGGACAUAACCUUGUGUGCUCGUUUUUUGUUUUUAUGGUACCUUGUCCCCGUUUGGGACCGUUUUGCCACGACGGUGGCCGUUGGUGUCUUUGGUAGACACGGGGCCACCCAGGACUGAACCCCAAGGGGGUGUUGGUCGGAGUGGCCGGGAGAGUGUCAUGGCAGUAGCUCAGUUUUGUCGGAACACCAUGGUCCGCACAUAUGGGAGUGCGAGGCCAGGGUUCCGUGGUGUGGGUAAAGUGUGCUACCUCUGCAGAGUGUAUGUUUAAUCUAUCGAUAGCCGCGUCCUCGGUCAUGGGCACAAGUUCGUAGUAGGUCACACUAUCGGGUCUCGGUCGAAAUGGAGGAUAAACCUGCUAAUAACUUGUGUGAUAAUUAAAAUGUGAUAAAUCAUGUGAUGACUUGGACUAUGGGAAAAUCGUGAGAAGUCACGGUGAUGCGUUGAUAUGACCCCCGAGACGAGGUCUCGGUAAGUCAUGCGUGUGCUCCGAGGAGCCGUGGCAGAGUAAGUGAUUGUUGCAUAAGGUUAAUACAACAUAUCUUCAUGGGAGGUAAAUGGUAGUUUAUUUUCAGCAUAGUUUCAUGAUGCCAUGCCACGUUUUGAUAUGCUAUGCUUUGCUUUUGCUAUGUUAGAAGUAAUUUUGAUAUGCCAUGCUAGUAGAUGCUAUGCUGCUAUUCAUGCUUAGUUUGAUUUAUGAUUCUAGUUAAUAUCAUGCCAUGCUUAGAAGUUGUGUUGAAGUAGACUGUUUUCAUAUGAUUAGUUCUUGCUUUGUCAUCUGUUUGUUUGGAUGCUAUGUAUUUGGUUGUCUUGUAAGUACAUUCAAUGUACUGACCUGGCGUGUCAUGCCAGUUUUGUAGGUCGUGCCCGAAUUGUUCGCUUGUUCCGUCGUGCUAGGCCGUAAUCUUGCCAGUCCUGUGAGUUAUGGAGUCCAUCCAGAGUGAGACGCUGCCAAACCAAGACUUCCGCCGCCAUUUAAAUAGACUUCCGCUGCCAUUUAAUAGCCUUAGGGCUAUGCCAGAUAAUUGUAUUCAUCAAUGAUGUAACUAUAUACACAUGUAAUUGAUGAAUAUUAUUGUACCUGGAAUGCUGUAUCAUGGACCUGUCGUGCGUCAGGUGUUAUCCUGGGCUAACGUGCGAAGGCCCCAUGCUCC
rnacentral:lncRNA from 1 species